rnacentral:rRNA from 1 species
CCUGACCACUAAUUUAAACCAACAAUAUUUAUAACAAAACAUAAACUAACACUAAAAAUUAAACCAUUUUUUUACCUUAGUAUGGGAGACAGAAAAGGUUCAACCCAGAGCAAUAGAUAAAGUACCGCAAGGGAAAGCUGAAAGAGAAAUGAAACAACCCAUAUUAGCGCUAAAAAACAAAGAUUAUACCUU